UACGUAGGUGGCAAGCGUUGUCCGGAUUUAUUGGGUUUAAAGGGUGCGUAGGCGGUUUUGUAAGUCAGUGGUGAAAUACUCUAGCUUAACUAGAGGGGUGCCAAUGAUACUGCAGAACUUGAGUACAGAUGAGGUAGGCGGAAUUGACGGUGUAGCGGUGAAAUGCAUAGAUAUCGUCAAGAACACCGAUAGCGAAGGCAGCUUACUGGGCUGUAACUGACGCUGAGGUGCGAAAGCGUGGGGAG
rnacentral:rRNA from 1 species